CAAAGUAUAGCUUAAAYAAAAGCAUCUA
rnacentral:tRNA from 1 species